rnacentral:misc_RNA from 1 species
UCUCCGUAGGUGAACCUGCGGAGGGAUCAUUACAGAGUUCAUGCCCUACCGGGUAGAUCUCCCACCCUAUGUUAUUAUUACUUUGUUGCUUUGGCGGGCCGUUAGGCUCCGGCCCGACUACCGGCCCCGGCUGGUAAGCGCCCGCCAGAGGGCCCAAAACCCUGAAUAUUAGUGUCGUCUGAGUACCAUAUAAUAGUUAAAACUUUCAACAACGGAUCUCUUGGUUCUG